rnacentral:rRNA from 1 species
AUUGAACGCUGGCGGCCGGCCUAACACAUGCAAGUCGAACGAGUGGCGGACGGGGGAGUAAUGUCUGGGAAACUGCCUGAUGGAGGGGGAUAACUACCGGAAACUGAAGCUAAUACCGCACACCAUCAGCUGUGUCCAGGUGGGACUAGAUAGUUGGUGGGGCAACGGCUCACCAAGGUGACGAUCCCUAGCUGGUCGGAGAGGAUGACCAGCCAAACUGGAACUGAGACAGGGUCCAGACUCCUACGGGAGGCAGCAGUGGGGAAUAUUGCACAAUGGGCGCAAGCCUGAUUCAGCCAUGCCGCGUGUAUGAAGAAGGCCUUCGGAUUGUAAAGUACUUUCAGCGGGGAGGCGUUACCCGCAGAAGAAGCACCGGCUAACUCCGUGCCAGCAGCCGCGGUAAUAC